rnacentral:rRNA from 1 species
UACGAAGGGGGCUAGCGUUGCUCGGAAUCACUGGGCGUAAAGGGUGCGUAGGCGGGUCUUUAAGUCAGGGGUGAAAUCCUGGAGCUCAACUCCAGAACUGCCUUUGAUACUGAGGAUCUUGAGUUCGGGAGAGGUGAGUGGAACUGCGAGUGUAGAGGUGAAAUUCGUAGAUAUUCGCAAGGACACCAGUGGCGAAGGCGGCUCACUGGUCCGGUACUGACGCUGAGGUGCGAAAGCGUGGGGAGCAAACAGG